ACGUAGGGGGCAAGCGUUAUCCGGAAUUACUGGGCGUAAAGCGCGCGCAGGCGGUUUUUUAAGCGGGAGGUGAAAUGCAAUAGCUUAACUAUUGUAAGCCUUGCGAACUGGAAGACUUGAGUGCAGAAGAGGAAAGUGGAAUUCCUAGUGUAGCGGUGAAAUGCGUAGAUAUUAGGAGGAACACCAGUGGCGAAGGCGGCUUUCUGGACUGUAACUGACACUGAGGCGCGAAAGCGUGGGGAGCAAACAG
rnacentral:rRNA from 1 species